GACAACUGGAUCUGAAGCGUAAUGAUGGUCUUCAGAAGGCCUCUCAUGGUGGUCUUGAUUCAGAGGUUUGAGAAGACUACCAAGCACCAGAGCCAGCUAACAGGUGGACCAAACAUCAAGCCAGAAUUCUGCAUGAGUCAGAAUUUAUGUCUUUUGAUAUUAUUGCCUAAUGCAACAAAUGGAAAAAAGCAUACUUUAUGACAACCUUAGCAGCAGAACACCAUGACUUUCUCCUGGGUAGACGAGAAAAAAAGUUUGGUAUCAACACCCAUCUAACAAUUAAGGUAAAAGAUAAAGUUUUAUGAUCCCUGCAUUCAGGUUAGAGUAUGGGGUAAGUUGACCGUUCUAUGGGUGUUUCUCAAAUGCAAGGUUGCAUCCUAUGGAGGCUGCGUCCAUCUUAGACCUGUCCUUCUGAGAUUUCGAGGUUAGAAUCCACCUCAAAAGCCAGAAUGAGAUGGUUUAGUUUGAUGUCCAAGGCAAUGUCAUAAUGGUUUCCGCCCCAGUGGUCAUGGCAUGAAAACUUUAAAGAGAGAAGUUGAAAAUUAGCAAUGCAUCACCAAAAAAAAAAAUCCAAUACUGUAGUACAGUGAAUAAAAGUCAUGUAUCAACAGUCUUUACAACAUGGACAGUUAAACCUUUUGUAAUUUAAUUAAAACAACAAAAGAGAAAACAAACAAGCAGAUUGAGAUGUCCUUCAACGAUGCUUGAUGACGUGGCAGCCGACACAUGCAGCAUUCUAGGACGCAGCCUUAUUAAAAAUAAAAAAUAAAUGGACGCAGCCUUAUUUAUUUUUAUUUUAUAUAUGUAUAAUGUACCCCCUGACUGAACUUGUAUUUCUUAUUAUUUAAAAAAAUAUAUUAAAAAUAUUUUUAAAAGAACGCAGCUGUGCGUUUGAGAAACGACCGGAAACGACUUAUAUGUCGCGAGGCCAUCACGUGACCACAAUAUUUACCAGAAGACCGUUAUUUGCUCGAGUUCCCUCAACUUUUUUGUCGCAAAUAACAUUAUUAAUAACCUGUAAAUAAUAAAAUUUGUACACAUUACAUUCCUUUUCACGUUGUAAUAGUAUGUUUUUGGUUUAAUAGUCGGCUUUAAGUUAGUUUUUCUGUCAGUUUGAUCGUCAAAAUCUUGAAAGUUAUCUACAGCCACACAUCCACUGUAUACCAAGUUAUGAUGAUCAAUUAUGAGAAUGCAAAAUGAUUUAUAGAUCAGUAAACAAUCAACAAAAAGCUUUACAAAAAAUGUAGAAUUUGUAGGAGCAUGGACAACUGAGUAACAAAGUCAUAUUAUGCAGAUGGGUGCUCAUGGUGGCCUCCAAAUAAAUACAUGGACAGGCUGCUAAAGAGGGUCAGGAUGAUGGAGAUGCAAGAGCCAAAGACAGCAGGGACCAAACACCAGGCCAGAAUUCUGCAUGAGUCAGCUGUAAAAAACAAAAGAAUGAAACAGUACCUGCAUUUUAGUUUCCAGCCUUUUUCACAAAGUUGCCGACAACUGGAAGAAUGUCCCAAAUUGCUGAAAAAAGAAAUUCAAUUGAGUAAUUUUCACUCUAGAGACCCUGGGGUGACCACCAAGGACGAAUGAAAACUCCAGUGAGUGUCUCUAAGGUAGAUCCUAAUGCAGAUGGAUGGAAUGUUGAUCCGCCUAACAUGCAAGAUUUUCUGUACCGAGAACUUUGGAUGACCAUCAAGACAAGCACUCGUUUUGAGUCCUGAGACCCUGGGGUGACCACCGUGAACAAAUACAGACUGCAAAAAGGCAGUCUUGACGGUUCUAGGAUGAAUGCAAAUAAAGACUGACCACCUGACUUCAGCGGUCCAGUCUCUUGUGGGAAGCAGGUGUUUGUUACCCCAAAUACGGAUGAAGAGUGACGAAGAGGAUGAUGACUU